UUAAUUUGACUUCGCGUGGUAUUCGGUAAGAAAAUUCCACACCAAAUUUGCAUUUGAAAAUCCAAAGCCGCAUGAACAGAUUAAUAGCGCGCCAUAGCUUUGUCAGCAAUUAUUUAGGCUUUCAAAUUCGUAAUUUCUACUCAUGGAAUACCAUUUCAAGGCAUGGGAAUACCAUUUCAAGAUAGAAAAUAGUAUAUUCUUCAAUUUUACAUAAGUUUUGAGUAACUACAAGUGAUAGAAAAUGAAUCAAAACUAAAUUAUGUAAACAAAUAGGCCGUUCCAAGAUGCUGUCAAAAUUAAAUCAAUAUGGCUACCGGAAGGCAAACAUUGAAUAUUAUUCUAUCAGGUUCUUAUGGUUUUAGAUCAUUUUAGUUGUUGUACAAAGAUUAAUUUAACAUUUUCUCUGGAAGUAUUAAUUUAGAAAGAUAAUAUGCCUCAUUGGUGUUGUGUUUUGAAGUGUGAAAUGCAAAGUAAUCGUGAUAAAGUUAGCUUUUACCACUUACCAUCAGUGCUACAUUCUAAGCACAAAACUGAACCAAUUUAACUAAAUAAGUUAUAGUUAUCAUCUGAGAGACAACAACAAUGGUAAAAUGCAAUAAAAUAUUAAGGUUUUACUAGCAAAAUGGAAAUUCCCCUGUAAUCAUCUUAUAUCUGGUAAGUUACAACAUUUGAACAUUAACCAUUUUUGAAGAUGUUAACAGUCUAAUCUUGUAGGAAAACCAGCCGACUUAACUGAUAAUAACAAUCCAGAUUGGGUUCCUUCAAUAAAUAUGGGGUAUAUAAACACAAUGAAAUGAGUUCCCCAAAAUCUAAAAUGGGAAUUAAGGUACCAAAGGAGAAUUAAAAGAAAAGGGUACCUACAAGAAAAAAUUGCUUUUUUAUUCCUCUUGAAAUGAUUUAUAAGACACUGGACUGUCUUAUAUUCUACAAAUACUAGAAUCAGCUGAGAGAAGUGGUCUAUAAAAACCCAGGAAGGAAACGGAAUAUGUGGCUACGAAAGGCAAAAGAAAGGUUUACAAAGCAAAUGUGACACAUUUUUUUGAAAUAUUUAGGAAUAUCAGUAAAUUGCAUUAAAAAAAUGUAUGAAAAGAUUUUGUUCAAUAAAAAUGUUUAUAUUUA